UACGGAGGGUGCGAGCGUUGUCCGGAAUCAUUGGGCGUAAAGGGCGCGUAGGUGGCCCAGUCAGUCCGUGGUGAAAGCGCGGGGCUCAACCGGGGAACGGGCGCGGAUACGACCUUCCUGGAGGGGCGUAGGGGGACCUGGAACUUCCGGUGGAGCGGUGAAAUGCGUUGAGAUCGGAAGGAACGCCCGUGGCGAAAGCGAGGUCCUGGACGCCUACUGACGCUGAGACGCGAAAGCCAGGGGAGCGAACGGG
rnacentral:rRNA from 1 species